UGUAGUCCGAGCCUGAGCGGCCUGUAGGCCCCGCUAUACCCGUUAUAGAACGGAGGCCGGUGUGACCGGAGGAGCGUUUAUCCAGUCCAUAUGUGAAGGGUGUCAUAUAGUGGCAGUCAUAAACCGCAUACAGGAGUCUCCUCAUCCGGGCAUUUACCUCACAGUCACCUCAUUACACAAGCCGCCAUCUUGGCUGGAAGCUGACUGGGCGCUGCUGGGCGGACGUGUCAUACUGGUAGAAUGUGACGUUGUUAGAGAACUAAACUGAGCAUGUGGAAAAUCGAGGAACUAAACAGAAAGGACGUGAUCUGAAGUAGAUGUGACACCAACAGAAGAGUCUAACGGCACAUUUACACACCCAACUGAGCAGGCAAUGACCAGGAAGGAACCGAACCUUCCCGAUGAUUGCCUGCUCGUCGCAGGACGGAAAUAUUCUGGGGGAAAUAUUAAAG